UGGGGAAUUUUGGACAAUGGGCGAAAGCCUGAUCCAGCAAUGCCGCGUGUGUGAAGAAGGCCUUCGGGUUGUAAAGCACUUUUGUCCGGAAAGAAAUCCUUGGCUCUAAUACAGUCGGGGGAUGACGGUACCGGAAGAAUAAGCACCGGCUAACUACGUGCCAGCAGCCGCGGUAAUACGUAGGGUGCAAGCGUUAAUCGGAAUUACUGGGCGUAAAGCGUGCGCAGGCGGUUUGCUAAAGACCGAUGUGAAAUCCCCGGGCUCAACCUGGGAACUGCAUUGGUGACUGGCAGGCUAGAGUAUGGCAGAGGGGGGUAGAAUUCCACGUGUAGCAGUGAAAAUGCGUAGAGAUGUGGAGGAAUACCGAUGGCGAAGGCAGCCCCCUGGCAAGUACUGACGCUCAUGCACGAAAAGCGUGGGGAGCAAAACAGGAUUAGAUACCCUGGUAGUCCCACGCCCUAAAACGAUGUCAACUAGGUUGUUGGGGGAUUCAUUUCCUUAGUAACGUAGCUAACGCGUGAAGUUGACCGCCUGGGGAGUA
rnacentral:rRNA from 1 species